rnacentral:piRNA from 1 species
UGAGCUUAUGAGAGGAACUGUGGA